rnacentral:lncRNA from 1 species
AAAAAUAUCUCAUCUCUAAAACAUCACUUCCUCUCAUAUCUCAAACAUCACUUCCUCUCAUCUCUCAAACAUCACUGUCACUUAAAAAAAUAAAAAAAAAUAUAAAAGUUUUAUCAUUUUCUUCUUCUAGACACCAAAACCGCCUAAACUUCAUCUCACAUAACACCAACCUUCAAGUUUCUUAAUCACCAUCAUCAUCUCAUUUCACUCCCUUCAAACACCAACCUUCAAAUUUCUUAAUCAUCACCAUCAUUAACCAUUAUUCUACUCAUCACAAC